rnacentral:rRNA from 1 species
CCUACGGGGGGCUGCAGUGAGGAAUAUUGGUCAAUGGACGAGAGUCUGAACCAGCCAAGUAGCGUGAAGGAAGACUGCCCUGUGGGUUGUAAACUUCUUUUAUAUGGGAAUAAAACGUUCCACUUGUGGGAUUUUGUAGGUACCAUAUGAAUAAGGAUCGGCUAACUCCGUGCCAGCAGCCGCGGUAAUACGGAGGAUCCGAGCGUUAUCCGGAUUUAUUGGGUUUAAAGGGAGCGUAGGUGGAUUGUUAAGUCAGUUGUGAAAGUUUGAGGCUCAACCGUAAAAUUGCAGUUGAAACUGGCAGUCUUGAGUACAGUAGAGGUGGGCGGAAUUCGUGGUGUAGCGGUGAAAUGCUUAGAUAUCACGAAGAACCCCGAUUGCGAAGGCAGCGCACCGGACUGACACUGACACUGAGGCUCGAAAGUGUGGGUAUCAAACAGGAUUAGAGACCCGGGUAGUC